rnacentral:rRNA from 1 species
GAUGAACGCUAGCGGCAGGCUUAAUACAUGCAAGUCGUGGGGCAGCAUGAGUGUAGCAAUACAUUUGAUGGCGACCGGCAAACGGGUGCGGAACACGUACACAACCUUCCUAUAAGUGGGGAAUAGCCCAGAGAAAUUUGGAUUAAUACCCCGUAACAUAACGAUGUGGCAUCACAUUGUUAUUAUAGCUUCGGCGCUUAUUGAUGGGUGUGCGGCUGAUUAGAUAGUUGGCGGGGUAACGGCCCACCAAGUCUACGAUCAGUAGCUGAUGUGAGAGCAUGAUCAGCCACACGGGCACUGAGACACGGGCCCGACUCCUACGGGAGGCAGCAGUAAGGAAUAUUGGUCAAUGGACGCAAGUCUGAACCAGCCAUGCCGCGUGAAGGAUUAAGGUCCUCUGGAUUGUAAGCUCCUUUUAUCUGGGACGAAAAAAGGCUUUUCUAAGUCACUUGACGGUACCAGAUGAAUAAGCACCGGCUAACUCCGUGCCAGCAGCCGCAGUAACAC